rnacentral:lncRNA from 1 species
ACAACCAAACGAUAUAUAUGAACUUCAAUAUCAGAAAUAGUAUGAAUAAACUGGGAUUCAAAUUCAUCGCAAGUUUAAACCUAUGCAUGAUCAUUUCAAUACACCACAAGCAUAGGAAAAUUAGUUACAAAUCUUAGCACAUGAGAUGUUUCAAAUUAUUCAUACUAAAAUCAGAAUUUUAACACGUUUACACUGCUGAACUCCUACAUACACUGAAGUGCUCUAAUCUAAACAUGAAUAAGAACACUUAAACAUUUGAUUUAGUAGCCCUUCAUGCAUCCAAUUUCAUCUUGAAUUCCAUACUUGAACUUCAUCCAUAUAAGUAAACAGAAGCAACGACAAUAGGCAUGGCUAAUUUGAAAUUUCACAAGUUAAACAUGAGUGUUUGAUUAUCAGUGACUUUACAGUAAAAUGGAUGAAACAUCAAUAACAAUAAAUCUAGCUAGUGAGCAAACAUGGCUUAACUUUCAGCUCUGACAAAUAGAUGUAAUCAGCUACUCAUCAGGAAACAAAGAAGAACAUGAUUUUAACAUACAAAUAUCAGAAGCACAUGGAAGCAAGCAUAACCAAAAAUCAGCAUGUUAAUUUUAACAUUUCUGCAUUCAGAGAAAAAUACAUAUGUUAUUUCAAACAUACCUAUCAGCAAAAGGUAGCAACAGAACACAAAAAUUAAAAAAAAUAGAUCUCUGAACUGGAAGAGGGCAACAACAAGAACAGACGCAACAGUAGGAAAUCAACAAGAACCAAAGAACCGACAGCUAAUUUGAAAUCCCCACAGAACUGGAAUAAAACAUUGAAAAUGAAGAGAAAAACAACUUUCUUCUUUUUGUUGUUUUCUAGCUAUAUAUGUCUCCUUGUGAGUGUUUUCAUUUCUGGGAGGAAGAAAGAGUGCAGAGAGAUUUUUAUGUAUAGAAAUCAGUCUGUAAUUGAGAGAAAUGCUGAGUGAUUAACAUUUGUUUGUGAGAAAAUAAGAGGUCCUAUAUGUAGGGAAUAAAAUCUGUCAUGUGCUCCAAAGAAUGAGGGAAUAAUUCUCAGCAUGCCACCCCUAAAUUUCAGGAAAAAAUAUCUUUUUAAAACUGAAUUUGGACAUCUGUCCCUGUUUCUAGAUGGUUAUUUUUAUUUCCUACCCUUUAGCUUCUGAAAAUCAUUUCUUUUGACCCCAAUCUGACCUAAUUCAAUUAUGCAAUUGCACUUUAGUCAUUCCUCUAGAAACUUCUCCAAACAAACAACUCAAAUUCCCUAAUUUUUCAAAUCCCCUUUGACCCCUUUAGCUUUUGUUAAUUACCAAUUAGUGCCUUCUACCCUAACUCUACUAUCUUCCUUCAAUAAGCAGAACCAACGACUACUAAACAAACACUUAUUAAUCUAAAUUAAAAUUAAUCUAUCAAAAACAGCAAACUAGCUAACCUAUCAUUAAGCACUUAUGUAAUUUCAACCAAAACCUUAUUAUCAAUCGACUAAAAUUCAAGUAGGACUGAAUCAAACAAUUAUUUAGAAAGCUAAAACAUUUUUAGGCGAUUAGCUAUUAACCUAGGCAUGCAAUGAAAAACUAAGAGAAAAGGAGAAUUGAUCAGAAUGAGUGAGAAAGAAGGAAAUAAAUUACCUAUUAAUCUUUAAGAGAAAGCGAACAUAGAACUCUGAUAAAAACUCGACGAACAAACACGACUCUGACCAAAAUGCAAUCUCCGAGAUACAACGUGAAUCUUACAUCAGUGGAAAGCUCUUAUCAAGAGCUUUCAAUUGAUGUAAAUUUCAACCGAAAAUAAGGUGAAAUUGGUCGAGUAUUUGAAAAGGGGGCAAGAGGCUAGGGUUCAAUUUUGGAUCUGGAAUUGGAGCAGUUUGGUGGGGGUAUUGGGGAAAUUAGAGGUAGGUUUGUGUUGAGGAUUGAGAGAGGAGUAUAGGGUGUGAAUUUGAGAGGGGUUGGAGUAGCGCCGCCGCCGUAGGCGAUUUUCGGCGGCGGCGGACGGCGAGGGAUGAGAGAGACGAGUUGAGAGAUGAGAAAGGGGAAAAUGGGGUUGGUC